GAAUCUCACAACAUAUGUUUGGAUAGCACUUCCCAGCCUACAACGCACUUUCUCAGGGAUUCUCAAACUUCCUCCCACCUCACAUCCUUUUAAGGCAAGUGAGUGUGGGAACUCUGGUUCAGGGAAGUUAAAUCACUUGCCUAAGGUCAUGCAGAUCAUUAAUGCCAUAGCCAAGACCUGAGCACGUUCUCCUAAAGCCAGGUCAGGCCUCUUGUCACAUACUCCAUUGACUCUAGUGCCUAACCCAUGCUCAUCACAGAGCUCACAUUGGAACCAUUGUUAAACAGACUCUAAUGGAAAUGACUUCGUUCAGCUGGUGAACAUUUUGGAAGAUUCCAGAAAAACAUGAACAAGUGUUUGAGUGCUCUUAAGGGGAUUGUCUAAUAUCUUGGCUCCUGACUCAUCCUUAGAAGUCUUCCAGCCACCUUGUACCCAUUUCAAGCCCAAGGGCUCUUUAACGUAAAUGAGUUACUGAGCAGUUUUCUCUCCAGGAAAAAUGGCUUUUCAUGACAGUUUGAGUAUUGCACAUGAAGCAUCUAGCAAAGCCUCAAGCACAUGAAAAGAACAGAGAAAGAUCCAGUGCAAAAACUCAUAGGAAAUGAUCAAUUCAUGCCAAGUGAUGAGAACUAGAGAAGAGAGAUGAGAGCAUUGUUCAUACACGAUGGUCUAGGUCUCCUACCCCAAGAGAACUUGCAACAAAGCCCAAAGUACAACAGCCACGUUUAAAGAGAAGAUUCCAUUUCAGCCAGACAACAUGAUUCAUCAUAUUUAUUUAAUAUUGUUAAUUUGAAUUUUAUUAGAUCUGUACUGAUGUUUGUAUUUAAUUUCUAAUUUGUUUUGGUUUCAUAAUUCACUAAAACAAUAAGCACAAAGAGUUUCUAUCUGACUUUAUAUAUUAACAUUUUAAUAAAAGUCUUUUAUAUACUCA
rnacentral:lncRNA from 1 species